UACUGUGAGCAGAACAGUUUUUUUGAGGU
rnacentral:sRNA from 1 species